rnacentral:rRNA from 1 species
UUUCGCGAUCCUUCUCACAGGUGACGCCUCGGAAGCCUUAGCAGCCCGAAAGGGUGAGCAACCGCGACUUGGAAAUAAAUAAUGAGUCGCUCUGAAAUGCUAGUCAGUCAGGUAAUGGGUGGGACGAUUACUUUUGGCUGGCUACACCGUCAAAUUGCGGGGAUCUCCUAAAGACUCUUGACACCAAGCAGGCCUGGGAAACCAGUCUGUGGCCGGGGUAAUGACCUAGGGUAUGGUAACAGCGCAAGAGUAUGUCCGCCUAAUCUUUAGGCGGUAAAUGGACAAUCCGCAGCCAAGUCCUUAGCCCUUUACUUAGGGUAUGGAUGCUGUUCACAGGCCAAAUGGUGGUGGGUGGACAUCCCUAUUUAGGGGUGGUCUGCUUAAGAUAUGGUCGGGCCCCUAGGGAAACCUAGGGGGUAGUCACCGCACGGUCAGUUAGAGACCAUAGGCGUUCGUGAAGCCUAUCGUCAUAUGCGACCGGUGCCUCAAAACUUCGUAACAAGACUAAACUGUUCCGUAGGUGAACCUGCGGAAGGAUCAUUA